rnacentral:lncRNA from 1 species
CUUAAUCCAGUCUAUCAUUGUUGGACAUUUGGGUUGGUUCCAAGUCUUUGCUAUUGUGAAUUCUUCAUUUUCACAGGACCUGUCUCUAAUCGACAUCGCAUUCUCUGGGGAGCCAGGCUGUGAGCUAAUGUGGAAGGUAGUUUGUGGGAUUAUCUCCCUUUCCUAUAACUGGGAGGUUGAGGUGAUUUGUUCAAGGUCGCUCAGAGGCAGCCAAGAAAAGAACCCAGCACUCAAGAUUCUAGGCCCUUGACUGCAUGGCCUUGCAGGUGAAUACCACAAAUCAAGGCUGCGUUCAGGUGUUAACACGUGCUAACGCCAGACAAGAGCUCAGAUGACUCUGGGGGUGUUUGUCAGGUCUCCAUGACAUUCUACAAGAGAGCUUUUUUCUUCUGAUGAUUUUUUUUAUUUGCAGUGUUUCGUUUUUAAUCAUCUUACGGCUGUGUGAUCAUUUCAGUCACUGCUGGAAUCUUCACUCCUCCCUCCUUACUUGAUGGUCAGCUGCAUAAAACUUUUCAGGAGAAGAGAUAUAAGGAAAAGUAAAGUGUCAUGGGCUUUACUCAGAGGACCAGGUCAAUCUGGCAGUUUAGCCUUCCCAGGCUUAAUGACAUAGUUCGUAACACUAAAAGUAAAGUUGUUAGGACAAAAAUAAUUCUGUCGUUGCACAAAAAAAGUUGGGAAUGCCUGUGCCAAAUAAAAGGAUUAUAUAUCCAGCUUUUAUGGGGAGCAUAUAGUCAUUUAAAAAAUAUGGCAAAUCACAUUAUUGGCUAGCUGCUUGCUAAAGGGGGGUGGAGUGGAGGAGUUUCUUAAAGCUAUUAUUUUAAUUUCUGGCUAAAGUGAGGAAGCUUUGAUACUGGGCUGAUGAAAUAAACCUAGUGUGGGAUAAUACUGAACCAGAGCCAGACCACAAAUCAGACGCGAUUCUGAAAGUACAGCAUAAAAGCCUGAACAAUUAAAUAUGAUCUAUUACUUCCCAGAUGGUUUUAGAAAACUUGGAAUUUAAAAAAAGGCAAAAAAAAAUUAAAAAAGAGGGUAAGCCACUGGAAUAGCAUUAGAUUAUUAGAUUUAGGAUUUAAAUACCACUAUUUCCUUUGAAUCCAGUGGGAAGUUAUGUACUCUCAUGACUAUUAAGUCUGUAAGAUGAGGUCAGUGACCCCUUAUCUAAUGUAUGAGGUAUGUUUUAAGAGAACAAAAUUUCAAAGUGUGGUCUUUAUAGAGCAUUUUGAGAUCUAAAAGAGAUUCUAUAUGAAAACCUUAUUGUAACGAUGGUAACAAUUAUGAUUGAAGUAGUUUAGAAGGUACCUUUGGCCAUAUGAAGUAAAAUGUUUCAAAAUCACCACCAUAUGAAACUUUUAAUUUAGUGUUAAAAUUAACUGAGAACAAUAGGGACUCCCUAAAAAAGCUAUUUUGACAAGGGGAAAUUAGGACAUUGAGCUAAGGAGAGAUCCAACUUCAUAUGGAAAAAUUGCACAUUAUUAAGGCAAAAGAAUGAGAGUUGUAAAUCAAGUCCUUAUUUUAGAGCAUACAGAAAUACUCCUUAAAAGAGGGAGACUCGGCUCAGUGCUUAUAAAUUUUGUCUGAAAAUAUUGCUAGUAAAUAUAUCCUUUCUCCUAAUCAGUACCACCUAUAUUUGUAUUGAAUUAAAUAGCUUUUCUAGUGAUUGUGUUGUAAAAGUGAAAGCCUAUCUUCUGUCGAUAUUUAGAUUUUUAAUAAAAAAGAUUUUUUUCUCCCCUUUAGUUACUCUUAGUGGGGGUAAAAACGAAGCACCAUUAGAAACACCGUAACUGGCAACAGAAAACAAAUCUUACAUUGAAUUAACAUCUUCAGAUUUUAGGGAGGGAAGGAAGCUUAGUUAUUUGUUCCAAACCCUGUAAGUGAAGAAACCGAGGCACAGAGAAGCACGGAGACUUGCUGUGGUUGGGCAGCUGGUUCCGACACAGCCAAUUUUUUUCUUUCCUAGUUCAGUGCUCUUUGAUUAAUAUGGAGUCAUCUGAUAAUUAAUUAACACAUGUUUACAAAAUGACUGAAAAA